rnacentral:tRNA from 3 species
CUGCUGGUGGCCAGCGUGGUCGGGGUCGCGCUCUUGGUGCGUGUCGAGCGCCGGGCCGCCGCGCCGCUGUUCCAGCCGGCCCUGCUGC